rnacentral:tRNA from 1 species
AAGAAUUUAAGUUAAAUAAACUAAUAGCCUUCAAAGCUAUAAAUAAAAUUUUUAAUAUUUUAAGUCUUA